rnacentral:rRNA from 1 species
UGGAUUCGCUAGUAAUCGCGCAUCAGCCAUGGCGCGGUGAAUACGUUCCCGGGCCUUGUACACACCGCCCGUCAAGCCAUGGGAGCCGGGGGUGCUUGAAGUGCGUCGCCGCAAGGCGCGCCCUAGAGCAAAACCGGUGACUGGGGCUAAGUCGUAACAAGGUAUC